rnacentral:lncRNA from 1 species
GGGCAAAAUUGGCCUCAAUUUCGAGAAUUUUUCAAAUUCUACUUAUUCGUAUGUGUAUGGCUUUCUUUUUCCGUUACACAUAUUCAUUUUAUGAAAAAAAUGUUUUUUUUGUAGUUAUGACGUCAUAAUGCCGUGUUUUGACAACACUUCACGUGCAUAUUUGUUGGCUUUUCACAAUUUUUUACUCAUUUUCACUAACUUUUUUUACGAAAAAAGUACCAGCGCAUUCUUGCCCCAACGAAAUAUUUUGUCAGAGCAAUAAUACCAACAAAAAGCAUCUUAUGUUGAAAUAUUUCAGUGGGGCAAAGCUGCGCUCAUACUGAAUUUUAAUUAAAAACUUGCUCAAAACCGGCAUCAAAGUUCCAAAAUUUUUCGUCCGUUUUUCAUAUAUACCGUUAUCGGACUAAGGUUGACCGGG